rnacentral:rRNA from 1 species
GACGAACGCUGGCGGCGUGCUUAACACAUGCAAGUCGGACGGAAAGGCCCUGCUUUUGUGGGGUGCUCGAGUGGCGAACGGGUGAGUAACACGUGAGUAACCUGCCCUUGACUUUGGGAUAACUUCAGGAAACUGGGGCUAAUACCGGAUAGGAGCUCCUGCUGCAUGGUGGGGGUUGGAAAGUUUCGGCGGUUGGGGAUGGACUCGCGGCUUAUCAGCUUGUUGGUGGGGUAGUGGCUUACCAAGGCUUUGACGGGUAGCCGGCCUGAGAGGGUGACCGGCCACAUUGGGACUGAGAUACGGCCCAGACUCCUACGGGAGGCAGCAGUGGGGAAUAUUGCACAAUGGGCGGAAGCCUGAUGCAGCAACGCCGCGUGCGGGGUGACGGCCUUCGGGUUGUAAACCGCUUUCGCCUGUGACGAAGCGUGAGUGACGGUAAUGGGUAAAGAAGCACCGGCUAACUACGUG